UGGGGAAUAUUGGACAAUGGGCGAAAGCCUGAUCCAGCCAUGCCGCGUGUGUGAAGAAGGCCUUUUGGUUGUAAAGCACUUUAAGUGGGGAGGAAAAGCUUGUGGUUAAUACCCAUAAGCCCUGACGUUACCCACAGAAUAAGCACCGGCUAACUCUGUGCCAGCAGCCGCGGUAAUACAGAGGGUGCAAGCGUUAAUCGGAAUUACUGGGCGUAAAGCGCGCGUAGGUGGUUAUUUAAGUCAGAUGUGAAAGCCCCGGGCUUAACCUGGGAACUGCAUCUGAUACUGGAUAACUAGAGUAGGUGAGAGGGGAGUAGAAUUCCAGGUGUAGCGGUGAAAUGCGUAGAGAUCUGGAGGAAUACCGAUGGCGAAGGCAGCUCCCUGGCAUCAUACUGACACUGAGGUGCGAAAGCGUGGGUAGCAAACAGGAUUAGAUACCCUGGUAGUCCACGCCGUAAACGAUGUCUACCAGUCGUUGGGUCUUUUAAAGACUUAGUGACGCAGUUAACGCAAUAAGUAGACCGCCUGGGGGGUACGGCCGCAAGGUUA
rnacentral:rRNA from 1 species